GUGAAGAAUAGAUGGGAGAAGAGCUCUUGGGGGAGGAAGCUGAUUGUGCAAAAGAGGAGAGCUGAACUGAAUGAUUUCGAUAGAUUUAAGGUUAUGUUGGCUAAAAUUAAGAGAGGAGAUUCCAUCCGACGUGAGCUUUCAAAGCUAAAGAAGAGUGCUUCAAAGUGAGGCUUUUGAAGAAUUAAUGGCUGAUUCUGUUCCCAUUAUUGCAGGAUUAAGUUGAGUGUCUACCAACCGUUAGAAAAAUUGUAGUUUUGGUCGGUGUUAUGAACUUUUGUGGAUUCUUUAAAGUUUGACGUUUUGAUUUUGUACCUCUUUGCUUUAUUAUUUGAAUGAAUUUAAGAGUAAUUUAUGAAA